GAAAGAGAUAAAUGAACCUACCUAGGAGUUUUGGACUAUGUGGGUGGAGGAAGUUUUGCUGAGAAUUGAUGUGGGUUCCUCCUGUGUUCAGAGAAGCAGGACUUUGCACAUUCCUUGUGUAAUAAACAAGAUUACAUCAGAGAAAAUACCAGACUCCAUCAAUGUCUACUUCCAGCUGGAACAACCUCAAGGCAUGGCAUUUUGACUAGCCACUCAGGUCAAAAAGAGACAACAAUAAAAGCAGGCUUGGAACACAGAAUUUGAACAGAAGAAUAGCCAGUUCUGGAUCAAUAGCUGGUACGGCUCUGCCCCCACUGGAAUGUCUAGCACCACCAUCAGCGAAUAAGCAGCUUAAGUCUCUUAAUGCCCCAUGCUGACCUGCAAGGUGUGUAUGAGAGUGGGGUUGUUUCAUCCUCUCACCUCACACAUCCACCCAGGGGAGUCAGAGCCUGGCAUAUUAUAAGCAUGGCCUCUAGUGCAACUGCAGUUAUAUUAAGUCACUUUAAGAGAAAAUAUAUAUAUAUUAGGCUUAAAAAUAAAUAUUAACAAAUGGUUUACCUGGUUUAGGGGAAAAAAAUAAGCAAUGGCCCUAACAUGAGUCUGGAUCUGAAUACUCCCACCCACCCACGCACCCACACAUAAAACCCAUACUUUUAUAAUGUUCAGCUGGUGGUUCAGAUAAAUAUUUCUUCUCCCCACCCUGGAGAAAAGUCACUUCUACCACCACAAGAUCCAUAAAAUGCACUGUGAUAUCUCAUCCACUCUGGCAAUUUCAAACUAUUAUUAUUUAUUACUGGAAGAUCAUAUAUAUUCCAUCACACACUGCAAGAUUUACUGAGACCCCAGGAUAGAUUUGCAGGAUUUCAGCAAAGGUUGAGGGGAGGAGGGCUGUUGACAGUCUGGGAGAUUAAGGGGAACAGAGGAGGAAAGAAAAAUCAUCAAGAAGA